ACGAACGCUGGCGGCAUGCCUAACACAUGCAAGUCGAACGAGACCUUCGGGUCUAGUGGCGCACGGGUGCGUAACGCGUGGGAACCUGCCCUUAGGUUCGGAAUAACUCCCCGAAAGGGGUGCUAAUACCGGAUAAUGUCUUCGGACCAAAGAUUUAUCGCCUUUGGAUGGGCCCGCGUUGGAUUAGCUAGUUGGUAGGGUAAAAGCCUACCAAGGCGACGAUCCAUAGCUGGUCUGAGAGGAUGAUCAGCCACACUGGGACUGAGACACGGCCCAGACUCCUACGGGAGGCAGCAGUGGGGAAUAUUGGACAAUGGGCGAAAGCCUGAUCCAGCAAUGCCGCGUGAGUGAUGAAGGCCUUAGGGUUGUAAAGCUCUUUUACCCGGGAUGAUAAUGACAGUACCGGGGGAAUAAGCUCCGGCUAACUCCGUG
rnacentral:rRNA from 1 species